CCUACGGGUGGCAGCAGUGGGGAAUAUUGCGCAAUGGGCGAAAGCCUGACGCAGCGACGCCGCGUGAGGGAUGAAGGUCUUCGGAUCGUAAACCUCUGUCAGCAGGGAAGAACGGUCACUGUGCUAAUCAGCAGUGAAUUGACGGUACCUUCAAAGGAAGCACCGGCUAACUCCGUGCCAGCAGCCGCGGUAAUACGGAGGGUGCGAGCGUUAAUCGGAAUUACUGGGCGUAAAGCGCUCGUAGGCGGUAUGUCAAGUCAAGGGGGAAAUCCCCGCGCUUAACGUGGGAACUGCCUUUGAAACUGGCAAACUGGAGUGUGUGAGAGGAUAGUGGAAUUCCAGGUGUAGGAGUGAAAUCCGUAGAUAUCUGGAGGAACAUCAGUGGCGAAGGCGACUAUCUGGCACAUAACUGACGCUGAGGAGCGAAAGCGUGGGUAGCAAACAGGAUUAGAUACCCCAGUAGUC
rnacentral:rRNA from 1 species